UACGGAGGUGGCAAGCGUUGUUCGGAAUUACUGGGCGUAAAGGGCGCGUAGGCGGCUAGGCAAGUCAGGUGUGAAAGCCCCGAGCUUAACUCGGGAACUGCAUCUGAAACUGCUGGGCUUGAGUUCUGGAGGGGGUAGUGGAAUUCCCAGUGUAGCGGUGAAAUGCGUAGAUAUCAAGAGGAACACCUGAGGUGAAGACGGGUUGCUGGGCUGACACUGACGCUGAGGCGCGAAAGCUAGGGUAGCAAACGGG
rnacentral:rRNA from 1 species